rnacentral:rRNA from 1 species
GGAAUCUUCCACAAUGGGUGCAAGCCUGAUGGAGCAACGCCGCGUGAGUGAAGAAGGUCUUCGGAUCGUAAAGCUCUGUUGUAAGAGAAGAACGUGUGUGAGAGUGGAAAGUUCACACAGUGACGGUAACUUACCAGAAAGGGACGGCUAACUACGUGCCAG